rnacentral:lncRNA from 1 species
AAGAUGAGUAAAAUGUUUCAAUAAUCAUCAAACUUAGCACAAUGUCAUGAUGUGGUCACUAAACUUUCAUUUGCUGCUUAACGGUCACUGAACUUACAAACACACCACUGCAUCCAUCACCCACUGCCCCAACCAUUUGAACACGUCUCAUGUGGCUUGACGGCAGGCAACGUGGCUAUCGACGGCGUCAAGCUUGGCCAUGGUGGACGCGAUUUCAUAGCCAAAACACAACCCUCUUCACCAUUUCCCAAUCAAUAAGUCUCUCAUCCCUAAUUCGAACACCCAGCCCUAGAUCGAUUUCCUUCAAAAUCCUUCCCCAAAUCGAUUCUUCCACACUUGGUGAAAUUGGCAGAUCUUCAUCGCCUUCACAGUUACAUUGGACAUAGGUCGUCUCGUGAUCCUCGUCUUCCUCACAACUACAUACUGAUUGUGCGUACGAACCCACAUACUGGAAGGUGAAAGUUUUCAAAAUGCGAAAGAGGUGAAGAGGUAAUAUCCUGAACUUCCAUGUAAUGGUCUGAAGGUGAAUUUAUUGCCUGGUUUGAGAAUGAACAAUUUUUUAUGUUGGAAGUUGAAGUUGAUUGGCAAUCUAUUACUACAUAUGAAAUACAGCAAUAUGAAAUACAUUGAAUAGCCGACCCCCUUCUCUGUAAUGUUAUUGAAUUCUAUUCAAAGAAUUUUGAUCUCUAAGGGAGCUACUACUGAUAAUCAUUCUGUAUUGCUGGUAUCCAAACAUGCUCUUUAAGCUUAUACUACUAUCUUGAUUGAGUGUAAAUGUUUAUUCAAAAACAUGUUUGGGUUGAAUUUGAAACAUACCUUUGGUAACCAGUUCUUUUUCCUCCCCCUGUUUGGGUACACUUUUAGCAUAUUAUAUAUGUUUUGGUGUUGUGUCUUGGUGUAUAUGGUGUUCUGUAAUAAAUGGUUAUUCCCAGAUUAUACAAGCCUUGCAGUAGAAACCAAUCAAUGCCUGAAAAAUAAUUCAGUUACUGCAGCAAAUAUUAUACUGGAUCCUGCCAUUUUCAACUGAAAAAUAAUUAUGAGAUUAUCUUUCAUUUUCAACUCUAUUGAAUUUAUUGAAAUUGGAAGUUGAAAAUGAAGUGACUUUAUUAUUUUUUGGGUUUUCAUUCUUACAUCUUGCCAUUAACAUUUAACCAAGUGGAAAUAUUAUUUUUAGCAUUUAACAUUUAGAUGUAGCAGAUUUUCUUUUCCAUGCCUGGUCAAUGAUAUGCUUACUGAGAGACUGUAGUGGAUGCCCAGUUAUACAUUACCUUUGCUUAUUUUAUUUUUUAUUUUUUAUAAUGUUAGCUAUAAUGGUCUAAUGCAUUUAGGUUGUAUUACAUGGUAAACUGGUCUCAUCCAGAGGUAAGGAACCUGCUUCGACCCAAAACCCAGUUAAAGAACAGUCUAUGCAAUUCAUGCCUACCCUGAUGGUUGGAAGAUCCAUGCACAGGCAGAAGACAAAAUGAAGAAAAUGAUCGCAUUUGAUUGCCAUUAUUAAAACUUUUGGUGGACUGAUUUUGUAAACAUCAACGUCGAUAUGGGAUUUAAAGUGUAUUGUAGUUUUUGUUUUGUGAACAAGGAUGUUAACUUUUUGCUGUUACCACAGUAUAUAAUUCUUUGCAGUUGUUUAAGUUUUUCAGUGGAAGAUGCACAUUUACAUGUCACGGCUUUAUCUUAGAAUCGUAUAUAAUUCUUAUGUAGCUUUAUUUGUAAUGACGCUUAUGUAGCUUUCUUAUUUAAUGGCAAGUGAUGGUUUUAUAUCUAGUA